UGGCUCACCAAGGCGUCGACGGGUAGCCGGCCUGAGAGGGUGACCGGCCACACUGGGACUGAGACACGGCCCAGACUCCUACGGGAGGCAGCAGUGGGGAAUAUUGCACAAUGGGCGAAAGCCUGAUGCAGCAACGCCGCGUGAGGGAUGACGGCCUUCGGGUUGUAAACCUCUUUUAGCAGGGAAGAAGCGAGAGUGACGGUACCUGCAGAAAAAGCACCGGCUAACUACGUGCCAGCAGCCGCGGUAAUACGUAGGGUGCAAGCGUUAUCCGGAAUUAUUGGGCGUAAAGAGCUCGUAGGCGGUUUGUCGCGUCUGCUGUGAAAUCUGGGGGCUCAACCCCCAGCCUGCAGUGGGUACGGGCAGACUAGAGUGCGGUAGGGGAGAUUGGAAUUCCUGGUGUAGCGGUGGAAUGCGCAGAUAUCAGGAGGAACACCGAUGGCGAAGGCAGAUCUCUGGGCCGUAACUGACGCUGAGGAGCGAAAGGGUGGGGAGCAAACAGGCUUAGAUACCC
rnacentral:rRNA from 1 species